CCCCUCUUCUGGCUCAAGCAUUUGUUGGAAUGGCUCACAAAACUCAGGAAGGACCCACGUGUGAAGCCUGUGAGUUUGAUUGCACUGCAGGAGGACCCCCUAAAGCUACUGCUGCAAAAUGCUCCUAGAGCAAAGGCCCUUCAGGGUCCAGGUGACCAUGGUACUGCUGGCUUGGAGACCACACUCUGAGGGGCCAGAAUAGAGGCAAUUGCUCAGCUCUCCAUUUUUGUGUUAAACGCAUUUACACCCUCACUGAUUGUUUGGUGUUACAUUAUCUUCUUUCAAGGAGAAUUCAUUUGCAUGAGGGCUUUAAAUAGAAUCCUGUGGGAAUAACUCCUUUUAAAGGGAAGUUGAAAGCACUUAACUCAGCCAGAACUCGGUAUGCAUCAAAGGAGGAAAAAAGAAUAUAAAGAA
ensembl:lncRNA novel transcript